UACGAAGGGGGCUAGCGUUGUUCGAAUUUACUGGGCGUAAAGCGCACGUAGGCGGAUCGUUAAGUCAGGGGUGAAAUCCUGGAGCUCAACUCCAGAACUGCCUUUGAUACUGAAGAUCUUGAGUUCGGGAGAGGUGAGUGGAACUGCGAGUGUAGAGGUGAAAUUCGUAGAUAUUCGCAAGAACACCAGUGGCGAAGGCGGCUCACUGGCCCGAUACUGACGCUGAGGCACGAAAGCGUGGGGAGCAAACAGGG
rnacentral:rRNA from 1 species